UACGGGGGGGGCAAGCGUUGUUCGGAAUUACUGGGCGUAAAGGGCUCGUAGGCGGCCAACUAAGUCAGACGUGAAAUCCCUCGGCUUAACCGGGGAACUGCGUCUGAUACUGGAUGGCUAGAGGUUGGGAGAGGGAUGCGGAAUUCCAGGUGUAGCGGUGAAAUGCGUAGAUAUCUGGAGGAACACCGGUGGCGAAGGCGGCUCUCUGGGACGGUACUGACGCUGAGACGCGAAAGCGUGGGGAGCGAACAGG
rnacentral:rRNA from 1 species